rnacentral:lncRNA from 1 species
UUGCACAUGUCUUCCCCGCCACUGCCUACGUGACCGCAAGGCGAAGGUUGAUUAAGGCAUUGGAUAGGCCGAUUCAUGGAACCGAAGGAGACGAGACCGGGGGCGUAGUUGUGGCGACGACGGUGGUAGACGAGGACAACAGUGGUGAGGGAGGGUGACACGAGUGAUUGCUCGAAGGUGGCCUUGAGGACUACUAAGGAGGAGGCCUGACGCAUGAGCGGCUAACUAAUAGGUCAUUGAGGAUGGAGAGGAUGAGCUGCUCGAGCCUGACUUUAAUGGUGAGCAGGGGAUAUUAUGUGGCCUCGAGACAUCCCAGUGCUUCUGCGCUUAUGCUCGUUUUAGCGUCGCGAUAAGCGUGUUCAACAACGGCGGCUCUGAUUGUAAUAUCUUAGCCCUAGUGGAUAGUGAUAUCUUAGCCCAAGACUUAAUAGAAUUAAUAAAGUAUUCAUACCAACAAUAUGCAUCUUCUUUUUCGGAAGUAUGUCUUCAAAGAACCUCUUAGUUAAGUGUGCUUGGUCUACCACAAUCUUAGGACGGGUGACCGACCAGGAAGUCUUCUCGAGUGCGCAUAAGUGAGGACAAAGUGCGCACAAAAGACUCGUGUUGAUCUGUGGGGAUGGUCUAUGAUCCUAAAGGCUGCCAAGAGUAAAUAUCGUCGGUCGGGGAGUAGGCGUGGUGUUACAAAUGGUAUAAGAGCCGACCCUCGCGGUUUCACAGGCGUGUAUGGGCUAGGAGUUCGGGCAUAUGGCACAUGUGGGCCUGGAGUGGUCACAUGGAAAUAGCAUAUGACGACACUGGACACACAAUCGUGGCCAAGAGGGGAGGUUCCUAGCUUAGGGUUGACCGACAAGGACGUCGGUCUGCUAAAGGGGUGGAUUGUGAUAUCCUGCCCCUAAUGGAUGGUGAUAUCCUAGCCUAGGGCUUAAUAGAAUUAAUAGAGUACUCAUACCAACAAGAUGCAUCUUCUUUUUUGGAAGCGUAUCUUGAAGGAACCUCCAGAUUAAGAGUGCUUGGCCUAGAGAAAUCUUGGGAUGGGUGACUGACCGAAAAGUAUUCUUAGGUGUGCAUAAGAACAAAGUGCGCACAAAAGACUCGUGUUGGUCUGUGGAGAUGUUAUAUGAUCCUAAAGGGUUGCUAGGAGUAAGUACCGCCAGUCUGGGAGUGGACGAGGUGUUACACCGAUGUAUGUGUCGUCACUAUCACCGUGAGAAGCACACGUUUGAGGGAAGGGAAGCUUCGUGAGAGCUAGGAGGCCAUCUUGUCGUCAUCGAAGCCAUACAUCGAAGAGGAGUUGCUACACAGCGAGCACGACAAGAGGGUUCCGAGCUAGCACAGGAGUGAAUGUGCGGAGGCAGCGGUAGCGAGCCCACCACAUUUAGCAAAUGAAGAAUACAUCCUCUAUCGUAGCAGAGAUUUUAGCGCGACAUGCUGGAGGAAGAAAGGAGCCCAAACACUAAAUGUAGCGAACUGAACGGUUUAUUGUGUCCUGCUGGAGAUAGCUUAAAGUGUAGAAGACUUUGUGGAUAUAGUCUUAGAGAUGUUGCUAGAUGUUGCUCACUUGCAUGCAAUGAUAACGUAAACGGUAGACGAACGAUGAGGCUAUAUUUAGUGUUUAGACGUGUUUAAACGAAAUUAAACGGUCUAAACAAUUUUAUACUAUAGCAACAUUUUAGCAAGAUUACUUUCACUAACCUUUUUUGAAGUAAACACAAAGCUUUUGAUGUCCUCUCCAUCUAAACCAUGUACCUACAAAAGAAGGGUUCAUAGUUAGUAUGUAAUAUGUAAAUUUUAGCAAGAGUACAUGAAUAAAUCCACAUAUAUAUUUGGUUUAGCAAUACAAAAUUAUGAUAGAUGGACAACAGCUCAGACAUAACAUAUUACAUAUCCAUAUAACCAAAAUGACCAAUUCAAGACAACUAAACUCAGCCCCUAUUUUAGCUAAUUAUAGAACAACUAAAACAUGUUAGAAGAAGACAUAUUCAUGUAUAGAAUGUGUCAAGAAACCAAAGGAAAGAAGACAAGAUCGGGUAGAGAAGGUGAGGGAACCCUAACAGUAACAUACCAAUGCAGAUGAGCCUGCCACAUUUUGGGCCUAUCAAUAAAACUGCCCAAUAAAUAGGCUAAACAGCGUUUAAACCUGUUCCGUUUAGCUUGUUUUGACCGAACGUUGACCGUUUAAAUGAGUCAACUGUUUAGAGGACCAUCUAGGCCUUAAACUGCACGGUGUUCCUCCGUUCAUCGUUUAGACCCAUUUAAAUGGUCAUCUAAAACUGUUUAGGGUAACACUGCUUGCAUGAAAUCGGAGUUGGAUGAGGAAGAUCUAACAAAGAGAAGAACAUUGCAAAUGGAAGGACAGAGGUGGAAAAGAGAAGUUUUAGAGUGCAGAAGACUUUGUGAAGGUAUUUUUUUAUUCACUCAUGUGGACUCCACUAUAUACCUCUAACCCAAAACAAAUCAAAAGCAAAGAACAUGGGUAUGGGCAGAAGUGCUAGUAUCCCUAUCUAUUUCCUUUCCUUCUCUUUUUACGACAUGUACAGCCCUGAUCCCCUAGAUUGGUUUUCAAUGUAAAAGAGACAACUAAGAGGCUGCAUUAAUACAACUCUGAGCUCCUAAAUAAUAAAUAUAGUUAAGAGGCAAUAGGUAUAGAGAGUCGUGUAGAGACAGUCUUUUGACAAAGUGAACCAUCUCUUGUACUUUUUUUAUUUAGCUCCCUAAAGAUCAAUCAAGAGACCCUUUAUUAAAUGGUAUUGUACAUAUACCAUAUCCCACUAUAUUUCCUAUUCCCUAUCCAAUAUCCAUAGCUUCAUCCAAACGCCACUUAAACCUACACAGGUCUGCUACGGGCCUAAAUCCUCCCUCCCCAUUAAUCAGCCACGGCCCCACUAAGCCCGUUUGCCGCAUAAGCCCACCCCCCGGGUAGCUUACAUUUCAGUCCUAGGCACAGUUGCAGCAAAAACACAGCAAAUUUGUAAGCGAUGAUCGACUCUGAAAGACGACCGUUUGCUAAAACUUCAGCCAACCCCCCCCCCCCCCCCCCCCCCCCCCUCCCCCCGGGUUUUGAAAGCCAUCACCAGCUGGGAAACACUUCAUCUGGCAGAGUUCAGUAGACCACGGACCAGCCCAAAUUUGAACUGUACCGAACAUCAUAUUCAUGCCGGCUGGUCUGUCAACUAUUCCUCCAUAGGAUUUGACCGUAAGCAACGAUUCAGUCCUUGGCUGCAUCCAAGGCAACAAUUCAAAGAUCUCAUUUUCUUUCCGAAUUACUAUAUGUGAACCAGCUACCACCUCAUGUACAUGCGACGACUUUUGCACCACCUCACCCAUCUUUUUUCAACAUGAGUGGAAUCCAGUUCGCCAAAGUAAACAACGACCAGGCCAGAUGACCAGCGAACUUCUGUCCAGGCGUCCAGGCCAGAUGACCAGCUAUAAGGCACAUAGUUCUAGUACAAUACAUACUAGUACUAAAUACAAAAACAACAGUGCUUCAAUGCUUCAUGCACUGAUAUAUUUUCUAGAGCCAUACCAAAACCAUGAGGGCUCUAGAAACUUCGUUCACCCCGCUAUCAACGAUACUACUAGCAGCUUGUUCACUUAACUUUAAUCUGUACCGGCUUCUAUUAUUUCUACAUUGUUUUUGUCUCCAUGGAUUACGACUAUAGCAAUCCAAACAGCCUUGUUUUUUCUUAUUCAGAAGAUUACUGAGUUUUGCCAUUUUUUUCUUUUCUUUUGCUGAACCUUGAUAGCCACCGUCAAUCCUUGGAGAGCAAGGACAGUUUUGCCAAUGAGGAAAGACUGUGACCAAAAAUGACAGUUUGACUACUAGCAGCCACCAUUGUUAAGCGCCCACAAUCCUCUGCAACCAUAAGGAAAGUUUGACUAUGAGAAAGACUCGUACAAAAAGGACGGCUUGACUAAUGACUACUAUAGUAGCCACCAUGCUUUCAUGGAUUGAAAGAAACAUUCUACCAAAUCCUUGACAUGACGUGUCCUGGAACUUUGUGCAAACUUCCCAUGGGUCAGCCUCAUGCAAAUAAUAAAUCCUUCAUUUUAGCAAUGCAAAUCUGUACCAAGUCAGUCUCAAGUUUUGGAUAAGUAGUACCUACAGGUCGUGUGACCACACAGCAAAAUUAAAGAACUUCCAAUGUGCAAACCACAGCGCACGACCAAUGGAGGAGUAGAAAAGUACAGACAUGGUGGCGAACCAAAACAUUACCUUGUUCAUCCUGUCCGUAGGCCUUAGUAUUGCUGGAUUCACUGCUGGGGACGACGACCAAUUCGUCUACACCGGCUUCGCUAGCAGCAACCUAACCCUCGAUGGUGGAGCGACAGUCACGCCGAGCGGCCUCCUUGAGCUAACCAAUGGCACCGUUCGGCAGAAAGGCCAUGGAUUCCACCCCAGUUCGGUGCUCUUCUACGAGUCCUCUAGUGGUGCAGUGCAGUCUUUCUCUGUAUCCUUUGUGUUCGCCAUUCUCUCUACCUAUCCUGAGACUGAGAGUGGUCAUGGCCUAGCUUUCUUCAUUGCGCCAGACAAGAAUUUAUCGGGUUCAUUCCCAACCCAGUACUUGGGCCUCUUCAGUGACCAGACCAAUGGUGACCCAAACAGCCACAUCUUUGCAGUUGAGCUCGACACCGUCCAAAAUUAUGACCUACAGGACAUCAACAGUUACCAUGUUGGCAUCAACGUCAAUAGUCUACGCUCCAUCCGAUCCCAUGAUGCAGGCUACUAUGAUGAUAAAAGUGGUUUGUUCAAAGAUCUGUCACUCGAUAGCCAUGAGGCGAUGCAAGUGUGGGUGAACUACAACAGAGAAACCACACAGAUCAAUGUCACCAUAGCUCCCCUCAAUGUCGCCAAACCAGUGAGGCCAUUGCUGUCUGCUAACUACAAUCUCUCAGCAGUCAUCACUAAUCCGGCGUAUAUUGGUUUCUCAUCCUCAACAGGCUCUGUUAGUGGGCAACACUAUCUGCUUGGUUGGAGCUUUGGCAUCAACAGUCCUGCUCCACCAAUCGACAUUACCAAGCUGCCAGAGAUGCCUCGUCUUGGUCAGAAGGCUCGGUCGAAAGCAUUACAGAUAACUCUGCCAAUAACAAUUCUGGCUCUGUUCCUUGCUGCAAGCAUUACUAUUUUUUUAUUCGUGCGGAGGAAGCUAAGAUAUGCUGAACUACGUGAAGAUUGGGAGGUUGAGUAUGGGCCUCACAGGUUCUCAUACAAGGAUUUAUUCGAUGCCACAAGAGGAUUUAGAGAAGCUAACCUGUUAGGUACAGGAGGGUUUGGAAUGGUGUACAAGGGGAUUCUCCGUGGAUCCAGACUGAAUAUUGCUGUGAAGAGGGUGUCACACGACUCAAAACAGGGCAUAAAGGAGUUUAUAACAGAGAUUGUUAGCAUCGGCCAUCUUCAACAUCGUAACCUGGUGCCCUUAUUGGGGUACUCCCGGCGGAAAGGCGAGCUUCUCUUAGUGUAUGAUUACAUGCCCAAUGGAAGCCUCGACAAAUACUUGUAUGGUAAAGAGGGCAAGCCUACUUUAGAUUGGAAUCAAAGGUUCCAAAUAAUCAAAGGAGUAGCAUCUGGUUUACUCUACCUUCAUGAGGAGUGUGAGAAAGUCAUCAUACAUUGUGACAUCAAGGCAAGCAAUGUGCUCAUCGAUAAUGAGAUCCAUGGGAGGAUUGGUGAUUUUGGUCUCGCGAAAUUGUAUGACCAUGGCACUGACCCAGAAGCCACACAUGUGGUUGGCACCAUAGGAUACCUGGCUCCGGAGGUAGCACGCACUGGCAGGGCAACCCCUCUGACGGAUGUUUUUGCCUUCGGUAUAUUCAUUCUUGAGGUCACAUGUGGGCAGAGGCCUAUCAAGCAAAGUACCCAAGACAGGCAGGUAAUGUUAGUUGACUGGGUGCUGGAACAUUGGCAUAAGGGAUCACUUACUGAUACAGUGGACAUCAAAAUUCAAGGUGAAUAUGAUAUUGAUGAGGCAUGUCUAGCACUGAAGCUAGGAUUGUUAUGCUCCCACCCAUUCACUAGUGCAAGGCCAAAUAUGAGGCAAGUCAUGCAGUACCUCAACAAAGAAAUGCCAAUACCAGAGUUAACACCAAACUUAAGCUUUUCCAUGCUAGCCUUGAUGCAGAAUGAUGAGCUGAUAAUGCACUGUCCAUCAGAAAUAGGCUUCGGCACAAUAUCUACCAUCUCAGGAGUCAGGAGGUAGAUGACUAGAUGCUAUGGGGCUUGACAGUGGCAGGCACAGGUCUUCAAUGUUUGCAUGCACAGUUGCACACAUAGUCAAUGUUCCAUAAAGAUGAAGACAUGAAGUAAACUCUAUAAAAUAGAGUCGCUUAAUAUUUUUUUAUGCUCUUCCUUUGUCUGUUUUAGACUAAAUUACCCCAUUGUUUGUGUGCUCGUUAAAUUCAUCUUUGUCAUUCUCGAAUUAUAUUCAAUCUCAUUUUCAUUCAUAAACAUACAAUUUUCUUGUCAUUAAAAUAAAAUCCAUAUAACUGGACAAGAUUUCUCCAAGACAACGAGAAAAUACAUCACAAUCGCAGACAUAGUCAAUGAAACCAAGGAAAGUGACUGCAUUGAUGGUAAUGACUAAAUCAGAGCAUUUUUUGAGAUAUUUUAAAGAAAUGGGACAUGUACACGGACAGAAAGGGAUUUUAAUGGUCCAGAGCUUGACUUGAGAAACACACUAGAUCAUAACAUAAUAUGUGUUGUUUACUCAUAUUUGAGAAUAAGAGCUCCACUUAGUGUUAUGAACCACAACCACAUACCAUGCGAGGUGUGCAAUUGAGAUAUACCAGUGCUAAUAAGGCAUCUGGUUGAUAAGUGAUCCAUACGUAGUCAAAGGAAGAACUGAAUCAUAUCAUACAUCAAAAAGUAUGAAUCAGUUGUAUUUCAUAUAAUAAUAAAUCUAUUUCGACCUUAUUAACCGGCCAAUAUCUAGAUAAACUAAACACAGGGAGCAAACAUGGUCAGCGAGAUUAAUGAAAAUUGAAAGCAGUGAUUGUACAGAAAUCCUACCACAGCACGCAUUUCUUGAUAUAUUCCUAACAACUGGGACAUAGAGACAAUGGGCAAGGAAAUUUCAUUCUCAACAAAUUGUCCCAAGAGACACGAAUACUUGACACUAGACAUGUUGAUCAACCUAAUGAACAAGCACAUGGCCACUAUGUUAAGCUAUGAAAAUAACCAUGAAAGCAGCAUUGGAUUUUUAGUAGCUGAAAUUACUUUUGACCAAUAAACUUUUUCACUGAAAGUCAAGUCCUAAUGUAUUAGUUAAACUAAAAUAAGUCAUAACUAGCCAUCCAAUUAAAAAAAGACUACCUGCUCUCCACUGAGCAGGCCUGAUGCACUGGUGAGAAGCCUUUUUAUUGAGCCAAAGAUCCUAGGUUCGAUGCAGUCUCUCUGUAAAAAAUGCAUGUUAAGGCUUGUCUCGGUUAUUCCUUCCCCAUACCUCACUUAUAGAAGCCUCUAGCACUGGGUCUGUCCUUUUUACCUACCCUGGAGGUAGCAAGAACCAAAAGAGCCAACUGUAGUACAUUAAGAGAAAGAAGUCCUCACAAUGUGAAACCUUCAAAGAAAAUGUAUGGAAAAAAUCAACAGGUCAAAGUAUCUAGCAAAUGUUUGAACCUGAACAAAUAGCUAACUUCACUGAUUCAACAUCCACUGACAGUGACUCAAUUAUUGAAUGACAUAUGUCUUCGAAGAAAAGUAAACAUUAAACACCUUACCGGUUCAAUUCCACUAUAUAUUAACAACAAACUGAGACUAGAUGUAGAGGACAACUGCAAGCCCCAGGUAGCUCAGAAAAUACUUUGCUCUUGCAUCCUUCUUGAGCUACCACAAGUUACAUCCAUGCCUGAAAAGAAACAUAAGUGGCUCAUUCUAUACCAUCUUCUCUACCUUUCCAUCCUCAACUUUACAUCCUUCAUCAUUGCUGGUGAUCAAUUCGUCUACUCCAGCUUCAGAGAAGCAAAUCUCAGCCUAGACGGCACUGCCACAAUCAAACCAGAUGGGCUCCUUGAGCUAACCAACGGUAGCUUUAAUCUCAAAGGCCAUGCAUUCUACCCAACUCCUCUGCAUUUCCGCAAGUCAUCAGGUGAAAAUGUGAAAUCCUUCUCAGUCACCUUCAUCUUCAGCAUCCUCUCUGCCUACCCUGACAAGAGUGCAGAUGGCAUGACCUUCUUAGUCACAACAAACAAGAAUUUCUCUGAUGCAUUUCCAGCCCAGUACCUAGGACUCCUCAAUGAUCAGAACAACGGCAAUCCAAACAACCAUAUCUUUGCGGUUGAGCUUGACACCAUACAAAACAGUGAGUUCGAGGAUAUCAACGACAACCACAUUGGCAUUAAUAUUAAUGGUCUCCACUCGGUACAAUCCCAGGGUGCUGGUUUCUACGAUGACAAAAACGGUAUGUUCAAGAACAUGUCACUCAUUAGUCGUGAGGUGAUGCAGGUGUGGGUGGAAUAUGAUGGAUGGACCACACAGAUCGAUGUAACCUUGGGUCCCAUUAAAAUGGCUAAACCUAAUAGGCCACUAGUCUCAGCCAUCUACAAUCUAUCAACAGUUCUCACAGAUACAUCAUACAUUGGAUUCUCAUCUUCAACUGGUGUAAUUAACUCAAGAUAUUGCUUGCUUGGUUGGAGCUUCAGUAUGAGCAACACAACUCCAGAGAUUGACAUCACCAAGCUGCCAAAGUUACCUCGUGUUGGCUCCAGGUCACCAUCAAAGGUCCUGACAAUCAUUCUUCCAACAGCCAUUGCAUCAUUCAUCUUUGUUACUGGAAUCACCAUCAUUUUACUGGCACGGAGGAAAUUGGCAAACAAUGAGCUACAGGAAGAUUGGGAGGUUGAGUUUGGACCACAUCGGUUCACAUACAAAGAUCUGUUCCUUGCCACUGAAGGAUUUAAGAAUAAGAAUGUGCUGGGUGCAGGAGGAUUUGGGAAGGUGUAUAAAGGUAUACUUCCAACAUCUAAAUUAGAAAUUGCAGUGAAGAGGUUGUCACAUAACUCAAAGCAAGGAACAAAAGAGUUCAUCACUGAGAUUGUUAGCAUUGGCCACCUUCGACACCGAAAUCUCGUGCAGUUACUAGGCUAUUGCAGGCGAAAAGGUGAACUUCUAUUGGUAUAUGACUACAUGCCAAAUGGUAGUCUUGACAAGUUUCUAUACUGUGAAAAUGACAAACCUUCACUGGAUUGGGCUACAAGAUUUCACAUCAUAAAAGGAGCUGCAUGUGGCCUGCUCUACCUUCAUGAGAAGUGGGACAAAGUUGUAAUCCACCGAGACAUCAAAGCAAGCAAUGUGCUUCUUGAUAGCAAAUUCAAUGGACGGCUAGGAGACUUUGGCCUUGCAAAGUCAUAUAACCAUGGCACAGACCCACAGACCACACGUGUGGUUGGCACCAUGGGUUACCUGGCCCCAGAAUUGGUACGCAUGGGUAAAGCAUCCCCACUUACAGAUGUGUUUGCCUUUGGCACAUUCCUUCUUGAAGUGACAUGUGGGCAUAGGCCUGUAAAGCAAAAUGAGCUAGGUGAGCAUAUUAUGUUGGUUGAUUGGGUACUUGACCAUUGGCAGAAAGGAUCAUUGGUGGAGACAAUAGACAAGAGGCUAGAAGGUAACUGCAACAUAGAUGAGGCGUGCCUGGUUUUAAAACUUGGGCUCUUGUGCUCACAACCAUUCGCUAGUGCAAGGCCUAGUAUGCAUCUUGUAAUUCAAUACCUUAAUGGUGGCAUGCAGUUGCCAGAGUUCACACCAUCAGAUAUAAGCAUCAACAUGCUAGCCUUUAUGGAAAAUAGGGGAUUCAAUCCUUCCUUGAUUUCAUACCCACAGCUGACAAUGAGUGUUGGCACAAUGUCAAGCCUCUCAGGUGGAAGGUAAAAAUGAUUUGAGGUCAUUAAUCAGAGCAAUAGCAGGUUUCUUUUGUAUAUUACACGGGGUGAUAUCUAUUAUUGCAUAUUUCAGAAUUAAAAUUUUUAGGGUGUAUUUGAUUUGAGCAACCACCUCAUGCUACAUGACCUGUUGCAUCAUGAAUUCAUUACAGGGGUGUUUGGUUUGAAGAAUGAGUUAGUCUAUCAUCUAUUCAUUUCUCACUUUUUUGUUUGGUUUAUGGUACAGUGUUUUCAAGUCGUCUGACUAUUUGUGAUUAGUCAGUCUAAUCGGUACUCGGUAGGUAUCAACCGACCAGCCCCACCGAUGCGACUAGGCCGACCAAAAUAUUAGUAUUAGACAUGGGAUGACCAGUUUAGAGUUUAAACAUGACUGUAGAUGGGCUUUUGAAGCAGGGGAACUUGUAGGCUGCAAUUUGCUUUGUGGGCAUCUAGGGUUGAGAACGCUCAGGCAAGAACUCCAGUCCCAAUCUGCACAGGCGCACAGCCGCCCUCCAGCCUAUAGUCAGCACAGCAGCCCUCCAGUCGGUAGCUAUACGAUUAGGUUCAACUAGACGACUUGAAAACAUUGUUAUAAUGUUAUGUAUAAUAUGAUGAUGCACCAUCACCUCAAGUCAAUAAUUAAUACUAGUACAAGGAAUGAAGUCAUUCCAUCAUAAUUGAGGAAUUAACUCAUGAUGCACCUCAUAUAGGACCAUGCAUAUAUUAGUUAUUAGCUUCGAAGGAAUAAGGUGGUGAUGGAUCAACUCAUUCCAUCUUACAAACCAAACAAAAAAGUGAGGCGUGAGAAAAUGACAUACCACAGCAUUCCUUAAUCAAACACACCACAUGCUGCACUUGCAUAGCAGCGUGUGAUUAUGUAUCUAGAUGCUAUAUUCACUUAUUCAGUAUUCAAAUGGUCGAACCAAAGUACGCACACGGGGAACUGCUACCAUUAUCUUGUAAUAAAAUUAUGAUCAAACUAUAUCUUUUUAUUUGGUCAAUUUCCUUUACAAUACUGACUUAGACGCCCUAGUGCCUAAACCACACACGCAUCCAUAAGGUUCAGCAAUCACACGCAGAACCUCAACCAACUUGGGUACGGUUGUCUGAAAUCAGAAAGAUUGCAUCUUGAAAGAAACGGAAGCGUACCAAUUGUGGUUGAGCAGAGGACAUCAGGUAAGCAUCAUCGCUUCCUGGCUACCAACGAAAGCGUGCCCAUUGGCCAUCACGUGCACCACCGGCAGGACUACUGGUAGGCCGACGGCCGCCGCGCAAACUGCACCCUUGUUUAGAGACGCCGAGCCGCCGAGGGUGAGCCGCCGCAGGAGCAGAGAACGCGGCGGGCGGAAUGGGCGGAUCAGGGGCGGAGCCAGGAUUAC